GAUGAACGCUGGCGGCGUGCCUAAUACAUGCAAGUCGAGCGAACAGACGAGGAGCUUGCUCCUCUGACGUUAGCGGCGGACGGGUGAGUAACACGUGGAUAACCUACCUAUAAGACUGGGAUAACUUCGGGAAACCGGAGCUAAUACCGGAUAAUAUAUUGAACCGCAUGGUUCAAUAGUGAAAGACGGUUUUGCUGUCACUUAUAGAUGGAUCCGCGCCGCAUUAGCUAGUUGGUAAGGUAACGGCUUACCAAGGCAACGAUGCGUAGCCGACCUGAGAGGGUGAUCGGCCACACUGGAACUGAGACACGGUCCAGACUCCUACGGGAGGCGGCAGUAGGGAAUCCUCCGCAAUGGGCGAAAGCCUGACGGAGCAACGCCGCGUGAGUGAUGAAGGUCUUCGGAUCGUAAAACUCUGUUAUUAGGGAAGAACAAAUGUGUAAGUAACUAUGCACGUCUUGACGGUACCUAAUCAGAAAGCCACGGCUAACUACGUG
rnacentral:rRNA from 1 species